rnacentral:rRNA from 1 species
UAUGUGAUCGUCUCUCGCAUAUCAAUAAGCGGAGGAAAAGAAACUAACAAGGAUUCCCCUAGUAACGGCGAGUGAGCGGGAAGAGCUCAAAUUUGAAAUCUUAAAGGGUUUCCCUUUACGAAUUGUAGUUUAAAGAAGUGUUUUCUGUUGAGGUUUUGGUAAAAGUUCUUUGGAAUAGGACAUCAUAGAGGGUGAGAAUCCCGUAUUUGACCUUUACUUUCAACUUUGUGAUACACUUUCAAAGAGUCGGAUUGUUUGGGAAUGCAGUCCAAAAUGGGUGGUAAAUUUCAUCUAAAGCUAAAUAUUGGCGAGAGACCGAUAGCGAACAAGUACCGUGAGGGAAAGAUGAAAAGAACUUUGAAAAGAGAAUUAAACAGUACGUGAAAUUGUCAAAAGGGAAGCGUUUGACACCAGUGUUGUUUUUCUGAAAAUCAAUUAAAGAACUGUUUAUGCUAAGCUGUUUAGACUUUAUCAGCUAAUCUGCUUAGUUUUGAGCUUUUCUUUAAUGCACUUUUCAGUUAACAAGUCAACAUCAAUUUCUUUUGCUGUAAAAAAGCUUGAGGAAGGUGGCUUGAGAUUCGUCUUAAGUGUUUAUAGCCUCUUGCCUAUGCAGUCGGAGAGAUUGAGGUCUGCAGCGUAGAUCCUUCGGGGCUAAAUGCAUUUGUGCUAAGUUAUAACAUUUUAUAGACAACUUGUUGACUAUGAUUUGUCUUGUAGCUUACUCGCUUAUGUUAUUUUACCUACGCUUAGGAUGUUGAGUAGCGACAUACGCAC